rnacentral:rRNA from 1 species
GAUCAACGCUGGCGGCGUGCAUGAGACGUGCAAGUCGAACAGACGAUCAGGGCUUGCCUUGAUCGUUAGUGGCGGACGGCUGAGUAACGCGUAGGUGACCUGCCCCGAAGUGGGGAAUAACUGCCCGAAAGGGUGGCUAAUACCGCAUGUGCCGGUGCGUUCGUUCGCACCAGCAAAGCCGAAAGGCGCUUCGGGAGGGGCCUGCGUCCGAUUAGCUCGUUGGUGGGGUAACGGCUCACCAAGGCGACGAUCGGUAGGUGGUCUGAGAGGACGAUCACCCAGACUGGGACUGGGACACGGCCCAGACUCCUACGGGAGGCAGCAGUCGGGAAUUUUGCGCAAUGGGCGAAAGCCUGACGCAGCAACGCCGCGUGAGGGAUGAAGGCCUUCGGGUUGUAAACCUCUUUUCUCAGGGACGAUAGUGACGGUACCUGAGGAAUAAGCCACGGCUAACUACGUGCCAGCCGCCGCCGUAAUAC